rnacentral:rRNA from 1 species
CGCCCGGGGACUACGAGCGCAAACGCUUAAAACCCUAAGGGCUUGGCGGUGUCCCAAACCCCCCUAGAGGAGCCUGUUCUAUAAUCGAUAACCCACGCUACACCCCACCCCUCCUUGCCCGAGCAGCCUACAUACCGCCGUCGCCAGCCCACCUCGCAUGAUAGCACAACAGUGAGCACAACAGUUACCCCACUAACAAGACAGGUCAAGGUAUAGCCUAUGGAGGGGAAGAAAUGGGCUACAUUUUCUAACAUAGACCAUACACGAAAAAGGGCCUGAAAUAGCCCUUAGAAGGAGGAUUUAGCAGUUA